rnacentral:misc_RNA from 1 species
UCGGGUGUCCAGGCGCCAGAUCCGAAGCGAAUGUCUUCGGCUGGUAGCUCAUGGGUGGAACAUUGACAUAGGUGCUGCAGGAUUCUGGCUGGUUCUAGUACGUCGCUUCGGUGACUGGAACGGACGAGUCAGAGGGUGGUGGCAUAUGCACGCUGUUGGGUCCUGAGGGACCGGGCCGGCACCGGAAGGUGUUGGACUGAACCUCUGGACCCUUUCGUCAUCUCCCUUGUGGGGGUGCGGGAGGGUACCGCCCGUACUUUGAGAACUACACAGUGGACGCGAGCAUCUUAGAUUCAGGCUUCGGCCUGGAUCACAAGAUCUGACUGCACUCCUUUCGGGGAGUGUGUAGAUCAUUGGUCAAUCUCGGCAUCUUCGGGUGUCGCGAUCGAUUCUAAAACUCAUGUGAUUUCAAGUUUCUAAGAGCAGACGGUGGAUGCCUUGGCAUCUGGAGCCGAAGAAGGACGUAGUAAUCUGCGAUAAGCCUCGGGGAGCUGAUAAACGAGCUGUGAUCCGAGGGUUUCCGAAUGGGGAAACCCCGCCGGGCCCUUUG